rnacentral:rRNA from 1 species
AGAGUUUGAUCAUGGCUCAGAUUGAACGCUGGCGGCAGGCUUAACACAUGCAAGUCGAGCGGUAACAGGGGAAGCUUGCUUCCCGCUGACGAGCGGCGGACGGGUGAGUAAUGCUUAGGAAUCUGCCCAGUAGUGGGGGAUAGCCCGGGGAAACCCGGAUUAAUACCGCAUACGUCCUACGGGAGAAAGCAGGGGAUCUUCGGACCUUGCGCUAUUGGAUGAGCCUAAGUCGGAUUAGCUAGUUGGUGGGGUAAAGGCCUACCAAGGCGACGAUCCGUAGCUGGUCUGAGAGGAUGAUCAGCCACAUCGGGACUGAGACACGGCCCGAACUCCUACGGGAGGCAGCAGUGAGGAAUAUUGGACAAUGGGGGCAACCCUGAUCCAGCCAUGCCGCGUGUGUGAAGAAGGCUUUCGGGUUGUAAAGCACUUUCAGUAGGGAGGAAAACCUUAUGGUUAAUACCCAUGAGGCUUGACGUUACCUACAGAAGAAGCACCGGCUAACUCCGUGCCAGCAGCCGCGGUAAUACGGAGGGUGCAAGCGUUAAUCGGAAUUACUGGGCGUAAAGCGCGCGUAGGUGGUUUGGUAAGCGAGAUGUGAAAGCCCCGGGCUUAACCUGGGAACGGCAUUUCGAACUGUCAGACUAGAGUGUGGUAGAGGGUAGUGGAAUUUCCUGUGUAGCGGUGAAAUGCGUAGAUAUAGGAAGGAACACCAGUGGCGAAGGCGGCUACCUGGACCAACACUGACACUGAGGUGCGAAAGCGUGGG